rnacentral:rRNA from 1 species
UUGAUCCUGGCUCACAACGAACGCUAGCGGCGCGUUCAGGCAUGCAAGUCGAACGGUACCAGGGAUGGUUACCAUCUGCUGACGAGUGGCGCACGGGUGAGUAACGCGUAGGUAACCUGCCUUAAGGUCUGGGAUAGCCAUACGAAAGUAUGAUUAAUACUGGAUAUGCUCUUAUGAGUAGAGAUUCAUCGCCUUAAGAUGGGCCUGCGUUAGAUUAGCUUGUUGGUAGGGUAACGGCCUACCAAGGCGACGAUCUAUAGCCGGGUUGAGAGACUGGCCGGCCACAUUGGGACUGAGACACGGCCCAGACUCCUACGGGAGGCAGCAGCUAAGAAUCUUCCGCAAUGGACGCAAGUCUGACGGAGCGACGCCGCGUGAACGAUGAAGGCCUUACAGGUUGUAAAGUUCUUUUAUAGUAGACGAAAACUAAGCGUAGGCUUAGUUGACGGUAUUCUAUGAAUAAGGUCCGGCUAACUACGUGCCAGCAGCCGCGGUAAUACGUAGGGACCGAGCGUUGUUCGGAAUUAUUGGGCGUAAAGGGUACGUAGGCGGUCUAAUAAGUCAGAUGUGAAAACCCUGGGCUCAGCCUGAGGCCUGCGUCUGAUACUGUUAGGCUAGAGUUACGGAGAGGAAGUCGGAAUUCCUGGUGUAGGGGUGAAAUCUAUAGAUAUCAGGAAGAACACCGGUAGCGAAGGCGGACUUCUGGACGUAAACUGACGCUGAUGUACGAAAGUUAGGGUAGCAAACAGGAUUAGAGACCCUGGUAGUUCUAACCGUAAACGUUGUAUACUAGGUGGUGGCGUUUUGAUCGCGUCACUGCCGUAGCUAACGCAUUAAGUAUACCGCCUGGGGAGUA